rnacentral:rRNA from 1 species
CCACGGGGGGCAGCAGUGGGGAAUAUUGGGCAAUGGAGGCAACUCUGACCCAGCAACGCCGCGUGAGGGAAGAAGGUUUUCGGAUUGUAAACCUCUGUCCUUGGGGACGAAGAAAGUGACGGUACCCAAGGAGGAAGCCCCGGCUAACUACGUGCCAGCAGCCGCGGUAAUACGUAGGGGGCAAGCGUUGUCCGGAAUUACUGGGCGUAAAGGGUGCGUAGGCGGUUAUUUAAGUCAGAUGUGAAAUCCCCGGACUUAACUCGGGUGGUGCAUUUGAAACUGGGUAACUAGAGUGCAGGAGAGGGAAGCGGAAUUCCUAGUGUAGCGGUGAAAUGCGUAGAUAUUAGGAGGAACACCAGUGGCGAAGGCGGCUUUCUGGACUGUAACUGACGCUGAGGCACGAAAGCGUGGGGAGCAAACA